CUUCUCAGCACCAGCCCUGGGUGAGGGGCUGACUGGCUCAGCAUGUGAGUAAUGUCUCCAGCUUUGUCAUCAGUGUUCUGGGAAGAGAUACAGGGCACAGCCGAGAAGCCGUUGCUGUCCACCUCGCCUUCACUUUGCAGCUCUUGUGCAACUGCCUGCUUUGUUGUUUGUUUUUCUUCUUCAGAAGACUGGAUUGGGGUGGGGGAAUAAGAGUGGGGUAGGUGGGAAGAUUGCUGUUUCUUUGCUGGUCAGACUCUCCAGGCUCUCUGCGGAGAGUCCAGGCAGGAUCUGUCUGACUUGGAUUGCAAUUCUCUUUUUCUGCUGAGCUGGGGCGUGGGCAGCCUAGGCCUGUGUAACUCGUGACAGGCCUCCCAAAGUGCCAUGAUGGCAUGGAUCCUCGUGGAGCCGUUGAGAACAAAAACAGGCCCAUGGUUAUUACACCCUCAAGAAUGAUGGCCUGGAACUCAGCAAACUCGCACCAACGUCUGCCCGCCCUGCAUUCUGUUGUUUGAAGCUGGCUGCGGCAUCAGGGCCUAGCACUGAGAGGCCGGGUGGAUCAGCCUCCACAGCUCCAUCUGUGGCACAUUUCCCUUCUCCUCUGAAGCUGCUGCUUGGAAUUUUGAGCUCCUCCAGAAUCCUGAUUGUCAGCUCAAUCUUUCUUGUUAGUUUUUGUAGUUAACUUAAUUGAUUUGUUUACCUCUCCAGUGGAGGAGCUCAAAAAGAAAGUGCUUUGGCACUCAGCAGAGCAGUUCUGCCUCUUGAAAAGGUUCUUCUGAGGUAGAGUUUUAUAAUACUGACCCAAAGAAGAAAAAAGAUCCUAUGGUUUAGGCCAGGGUGACUGUAAGUCCUGGUUUGCCCAGGGAUGGAUGCUAUUGAUGAAUUACUCAUAGCACACCCCUUCACUCUCAGAAGUAUCCCAGCUUAGGCGAUAAAUUUUAGCAUCAUGCUAGCUUAGAUGAAUUCAGCAAGAAAUAACAGAUAACCAACUCACUACAAGCUGUUAAUUCUUUGUCUAGAAAUGUAAUGGCUUUGUGAGGCAGCGCGAAACCCUGCCCUGAGCAUUGCAGAUUCCACUGGAGUCAUGCACCUGUGACCUCAGAAAGCGUUGCUGUGUUUCUGGCUCUGUGAGUGUGGACUGGCCUUCCCGCUUGAGUAGGUCCCGGUUAAGCCAAUUUUGAAACACCGUGUCACUUAUUUGAGCAUUCCUGGUUAUCACUGCCUAGUUGGUUGAGUCAGAACCUGGAGUUAGCUUGGUAGGGUGUGGUUUCAGGUUUGCAGACAUCCCUGGUUGAUGGCCUAUGAAGGAUUGGUGCCUGAUGUAACUGAAUAGGGUGUUACUUCAGGUUAGUAGUCCUUGUUUUCUCUUGACGGGUUGGACUGAACCUGGUAUUACUGUUUCCCAAAGAAUAUUUUUGGUUUGAAAACUGAAGGUCAGCAGUUCGCAAGUGUCGAACGUAAAGCCAACUCUGUGGUUUGUCUUGUGCCACUGGGCCAGCAGCACUGCAGUCCUGAUCGAUUGAUCUGCAGCAAUAUAAAACCACGAACAGCAACUGCCAGACAAAACUCCAUCUCACCCCAUUUCCCUGUCCAACCUGUCUCUCUGCCCAGAUCCCCUUUCUUUUUCCUCCUUUGUCUGUCUCACUCUUGCUUAUGUAUUUCACUUUUUUGGGUCUAUCUUUUUCCAUCUCCCUGUCUCUUUCCAUAACAGUUUUAAUAAUGUUUUAGUUAGUUCCAGCCUUUUCCCUGAAUGGAUCCCAUUGGAAAAUGGAUUUGAAAGGAAACAGUUAUACACUUCCCUUCCUUUGAAACUCUGUUGGCACCUUUUCCAGUGCAGUAAACCAUACAACAUGUAUUUUCAAAGUUUCCAAACACAGACACGCUGGCGUUAAAUUUAUGAAAAAAUAUUCAGCUAUAUGGUAACUGUGACUUUCAGAGAUGCUGAUCAGAUUUGAAAUUGGUACUGACUUCUGGAGCCCCAGCAGGUUCUCAGAUCUCUGCGGGAAAUAUAACCACACUGGCUCUUGGGGAGUCUGUGGUGCUUGGAGCCUUGGCUUUUGAUUGGCAGGUUGGGCAGGAAGAGUUGGAGCGAGAGAUGUGGGUGUGGGGACCCCCAGCCACACCCGGAGGGAAACAGGGAAAGUCAAUGAGUCAGUGAAGAAUAUGGCGUAGUCGUGUUGGGCACAGUAACAGAAUGUAUAUUCCUUCUCUGCGUAGAAGGUAAACUACUUUCUGUUUACUCCAGCCAAGACUGAAGGUCAAAUAACGCCCCCUUUGUUGUUGUUGUUGUUUUUUGUGUUUUUUUUUUUAAUUGGAUGGAGUCUCACUCUGUCACCCAGGCUAGAGUGCAGUGGCACAAUCUCGGCUCACUGCAAGCUCCGCCUCCCGGGUUCACGCCGUUCUCCUGCCUCAGCCUCCCGAGUAGCUGGGACUACAGGCGCCCACCACCACGCCCGGCUAAUUUUUUGUAUUUUUAGUAGAGACGGGGUUUCACCAUGUUAGCCAGGAUGGUCUCGAUCUCCUGACCUCGUGAUCUGCCCACCUUGGCCUCCCAAAGUGUUAGGAUUACAGGCGUAAGCCACCGCGCCCGGCCCAAAUAACACCUUUUUGUUAUUUUCUUUAGGGUGCCAAGGCUAAGAAGAGUUACUUAUUUUCCUUCAAGGCAGUGAUGAUGUUGCUAUUGUUAAAAAUGUUUACCUCCCAAAAAAUGUUCUGAAGCAAAAAUCUAUAUAUGUAUUAGAAUUCGUCUAUGUAUUUUUUCUUAUUUUUUAUGAUUGUUAACUUCUUUUUUUGUUUCACCUUUGAACUGUUGUCCAGUCUGAGACAUCCUGUUAUAGCAUGUUCUAUGUAUCUUUUUUCUUUUUCUUUUUUUUUAAAAUAAAAUCCAGCUCCUGCA